AUGCACCAAUGAUAACUGACAUUAAAGUGAGCUAACGGACAUUAGCACAGUCCAGUUAUAAUCAUUAGUUAGCUGGAUGCUAGCUAGCUAAUAUGAAGAAAACUUUUAAUGAAAAAAUCCCAACCGGUUGUUAGUAUAAAAUUGGAGCAUGAAGCCUGUACAGAAGACUCUCUGGAUGGAGUGUCAAUGCUUAGUUACAUCCUAUGGACAAUUUAGAGAUGCCCAUCAACAUGCAGUGCGUGUCUUUGUACUGGAAAAAGAAUCUUCAGAAGAACAUGCAAAAGCCUCGAACACAGGAGCAGACAAAGGAAUCAAACACAUAAACUCUGUAAUCUGUCUCUCCUCCCCAGUGACCCAACAUGCUACUCACUGUACCAAUGUAUCACUCAUUGGUACAAGCCUGUUGAAUUGGAUACCAGAGGGGCAGAAAAGCAUCAGCAUCUCUAGUCGUUACAUGAAGGUCUUGCACGAAGCAGAGAGAUGUUUAUUGACUGCAAGGAUUUCAGAAAUGUUUUUAUUUUUUUCUCCAAAGCAGCAAAACCACAGAAGCAGCAAAACCACAGAAGCAGCGGAGAGAGAAACAUCAUUCGAUCACAGCUUAACAUGCUUAAAGCUCUAAGAUCUAAGCGCUCGUGUUGUGCAGAGUGUGACCACGUGUUAUCUCCUCCAAUGGACGCUAAAAAAAUAAAGCUUUUUUAACAUCUUUUUUGACCGCAUUUAGAGGGCCAUCAUGUUCUGUAGAUAGGGGUCAUCCUGUCUCUUCAUCCUGGAAGAUGCAACAUCUACCAGGACAGAAAAGUUUCACCAGAGGGUGAAAUACAUGUUUUAGUUCCAGCAAGACAAACCAUGCCAGCAAAUAUAUAUAAUAUAUAAACCUAACACCAUGUAGAUCUUAAACUUUAACGGAACGCAUCACUUUAACUCAAAAAAUAUGUAAAUAAUUUAGUAUUUACUUAAAAGUAUGUUGUAUAUAGAGUAGAAUAAUUCACACCUUUAUAAGCAAUCCUGUUUCUUGUCCCUUAAAUAACAUUUAUCAUCAUCAUCAUCUCUCCCUUCAAUGACGUCUUACAUCCUGCUUAAUUUAACUCAAAAGUAAAAAAAAAAAAAAAAGACAGACACAGUUUUGCCUUUUCCAUUCAAUUUUAUUUUCUAAAUGCGACGUUUAAAAAAAAUUGUAUGUUUUUAAAUAACAUGAAACCAAAUGCCAAAUGUAUCAGGUCACUAAUGUACAGCCCAGAAUCCUGAAAGGCACCAGGCAUGGGAAAAAGAGGGAAAAAAAAAAGAAGCAGCCUAAAUACACUCAUUUACAAAGAAAGAUGCGCAUGCAUUCAUAUACACACAUAUACAAACAUACGUACAGUCGGUUCAACAUGGUCGCUGAAGACGGGAGGAUGAAAACCAGUGAAGAAGGAAAGAUAAAAUAAAAUUAAAAUCCUAAUGACUGAUUCCUUUUAAAAACCUAACCUCAAGCACUCAGAGGAAAGUCUGAAAAUAACCCUGCUCUGUGUUCUAAAACUGGGUUACUCACCCCCUUGUUCACUUCCCCUUAAAUACAGUGUUUUAUUGGCUUGUAAAGUAGUUAGCAUGGUAACGGUCACACUGGGUAAUGGACUGGCAGAGUAAAAUAAUGAUUGUGGAGACGUCCAGUCCUAAACCGCUCACGUAAGUCAAUGUUAUAUA